rnacentral:lncRNA from 1 species
AGCUCCCACCCUGGUCUUAGAUAUUGAAGAGUCCCAGGUACUCCACCCACCUCUCACUUUGUGAACAUGGAUGCCCGUGUCACUGCCUGAGGAGUUAAGUCUGUAUGACACCCAGACCCCACAGUCACAUCACAUAAAUUAAGAAUCUUGCUGGGGCGCUAUCAUUGACAGUUUUAAAUCUCAGCUGGAGUAAAUUGUUAUUAACCUAUCUAGUUAUUGCUGAAAAUCGUAGUCAAACCCGUAGGUGAAAAGAGAAGGCUGUGGAUGCUGUCUUGCCAAAGAUCUCAGAGCUGAAUUGUUCAGAGCGAGGACCAGACUGGAACUGAUUCUGCUGCUACUGUGUUUUAGGUCAGACACUCAGGCCUGUUGGGUGAUUUGGGGCAGCUAACCCAGAUGUUGCCCCUGUGAAAGUCUCUGCAGCAACUACAUGGGCAUCUCUGUUUCACCCUGCUUCUUCGUCGUCCUUUUGCUUUGCAUCACAAAGGAAAAAAUCUACCCCUGUGUAGCCAGCGCUUCAAAUCCAACCCAAGCCAGAUCAUGAAGCAGACUGAGCUGUGACGGCACCCACUGGGAGAUCCUUCUGGAGCCGUGUCAGUGGACAUGCCCUAGACAGGAGAGAGGACCUGCCUGAGUUCCCUGACUGAGAAUGUUAAUUGACCCUCUAGGGCCUUUGUUCGCUGGUGCAUCCUGUGGCAUCUUCUCACCUUGUUAAGGGCCCCUUGAUGAGUAAAAUCAUGAGCCUUUUUGGGAAGUUUGGGUAUACUAAGCUCCCAAAUCCUCUGAGUUGUUAGGGAACCUGAGCCCUGAGUAAUCCAAGUCAGGUGUAUGCCUUUGGAGAAUAUACAUGUUUGAGAGUUUUUAUUGGCCACCUCCAACCUACUUUGAGACUGAGUCCCUUCCAUCAGAGUUUGGUUCUGAGAAGCAGGUGGCAGACACCCCUGUUGCCAUCAGGUUGCAUCUGUGAAGUGAUAAGGAGAUGUGCUGACUGGGUGAAGUUCCAGAGGUCAGGAAUCUGAAACCACGUUCCCUGGGCUAACGUCGAGAUGCCAGCAGGGCUGGCUCCUUCCAGGGGCUCCAUGGGGAGGAGGCUGCCAGAGCUCUAGUCCCUGCUC